AAUUCUCUGCAGGAAUAGCCAGUGAUGUUCUCUGGUUACUCUGACCUCCAAGCCACCCUUGGCCAGGCAGCCAGAACCACCCAGGAAGAUGCUGGAAUGCAUGUUGGCAAGUAGAAGACUUCACUGAGGUUGAGCAGGAUGCAGAUGGCAGCUGUGGUCACCAUGAAGUAGGUGAAGACCUUCUUCUCCGUGGGCCGGGAGAUGUAACAGUCCACAGUGUGGGGGCAAGGCUCCACGGAGCAGGCCACCACGCGGGGCAUGUCAUAAUCCUUGUAGAGGCGGUGGAAGAUAUAGAGGAAGCCAGCAUCCACGGCGGCCUUGAAGAUGAGGCUCAGCAAGUACGUCCACCACAGUCCGCCCCGCUUCUUGCUCAGGUUGUCGUACAGGGACGGGGCAUUGGGCCCGUGUUUCAGGUGGUGCUUGCGCUCGCGUUCCUCGCGGUAGGCCACGUGCAUGACCACGAGCAGUGAGGGGCACGUGACCAGGAUGAGCUGUAGGGCCCAGAGGCGCACGUGGGACACGGGGAAGAACUCGUCAUAGCAGACGUUGGGGCAGCCGGG
ensembl:lncRNA novel transcript, antisense to GJB4 and GJB3